rnacentral:rRNA from 1 species
AGAGAGAGACAUGCGCGCAUAUCAAUAAGCGGAGGAAAAGAAACUAACUAGGAUUCCCUCAGUAACGGCGAGUGAAGCGGGAAGAGCUCAAAUUUGAAAUCUUAAAGGUUUCCCUUGACGAAUUGUAGUUUAAAGAAGUGUUUUCUGUUGGAGUUUUGGUAAAAGUUCUUUGGAAUAGGACAUCAUAGAGGGUGAGAAUCCCGUAUUUGACCAUUACUUUCAACUUUGUGAUACACUUUCAAAGAGUCGGAUUGUUUGGGAAUGCAGUCCAAAAUGGGUGGUAAAUUUCAUCUAAAGCUAAAUAUUGGCGAGAGACCGAUAGCGAACAAGUACCGUGAGGGAAAGAUGAAAAGAACUUUGAAAAGAGAGUUAAACAGUACGUGAAAUUGUCAAAAGGGAAGCGUUUGACACCAGUGUUGUUUUCUCGAAAAUCAAUUAAAAAAGGCAGGAUUUUGUGUUGUAUUGACUUUAUCAGCUUUCUGCACUCUUUUCUUGUCUUUUUUAAUGCACUUUUCGUUUAACAAGUCAACAUCAAUUUCUUUUGUUGUAAAAGGGUCAUUGGAAGGUGGCUUUCUUUUCGGAGAAAGUGUUUAUAGCCUUUGGCCUCUGCAAUCGGAGAGAUUGAGGUCUGCAGCGUAGAUCCUUCGGGGUUAGAUACAUUUGUGCUAAGUUAUAGCCUUUUCAUAGACAACUUGUUGACUAUGAUCAGUCAUGUAGCUUACUCGCUUAUGCUAUUUUACCUACGCUUAGGAUGUUGAUGUGAUACUGCGAGCA